AUGGCGUUGGUUCUUAGAUUUAUUGAUAAAGGUGGUAUUUUGCAGGAGAGAUUCUUUGACUUGAUACAUGUAGCGAACACACGGUCUUUGACACUUAGAGAUGAGUUGAGCUUUGUUUUGUCGAACAAUGGUUUCGUUAUUCAGAACCUUCGAGGACAAGGUUACAACGGGGCUAGUAACAUUAGAGGUGAGUUAAAUGGAUUGCAAACUCUUUUCCUCCAAGAAUGUCCAUAUGCUUAUUAUGUCCAUUGUUAUGCCCAUCGCUUGCAACUUACUCUAGUUGAUGCAUCUAAAAAAGUGGUCCCUAUCUCCAAGUUCUUUCAGAAAUUGAUCUUUAUCAUAAAUAUGAUUGACUCCUCUUCAAAGUGCCACGAUGAGCUUCAUCAUGCCCAACUAGUUGAACUAGAAAAUGGAAUCUCUAAUGCUGGCAUUGAGGCAGAUGCUUCUAAGGAUGAUGAUUUGAAAAAAAAAAUCUACCUUGAUUGA
rnacentral:rRNA from 1 species